rnacentral:rRNA from 1 species
CAGUAGCCGCGGUAAUACGGAGGGUGCAAGCGUUAAUCGGAAUUACUGGGCGUAAAGCGCACGCAGGCGGUCUGACAAGUCAGAUGUGAAAUCCCCGGGCUUAACCUGGGAACUGCAUUUGAAACUGGCAGGCUAGAGUCUUGUAGAGGGGGGUAGAAUUCCAGGUGUAGCGGUGAAAUGCGUAGAGAUCUGGAGGAAUACCGGUGGCGAAGGCGGCCCCCUGGACAAAGACUGACGCUCAGGUGCGAAAGCGUGGGGAGCAAACAGGAUUAGAUACCCCGGUAGUCCCUGUCUCUUAUAC